UACGAAGGGGGCUAGCGUUGCUCGGAAUUACUGGGCGUAAAGGGCGCGUAGGCGGACCGUUUAGUCAGAGGUGAAAGCCCAGGGCUCAACCUUGGAAUUGCCUUUGAUACUGGCUGUCUUGAGUUCGGGAGAGGUGAGUGGAAUGCCGAGUGUAGAGGUGAAAUUCGUAGAUAUUCGGCGGAACACCAGUGGCGAAGGCGACUCACUGGCCCGAUACUGACGCUGAGGCGCGAAAGCGUGGGGAGCAAACAGG
rnacentral:rRNA from 1 species